rnacentral:lncRNA from 1 species
UAUGCAUAAAUUUAAUUUGCCACUUGCAGAGCCUAAAAUGGAUGCUAAGAGAUUGAGAUACAUAAAGUCCGAUUGAAAUCCUCAUCAUGUUGUGUACUGGCAGCGCUGAUAUAAAACACGUGCAAAGAGGAAAUGGAUAUUAGCUACUCUCAUGCCGUAACUGCCCUAAAAAGGAAAAUACUCAGCGCUCUCAGCAACAAAUGCUGUAGAACACUUCUGGGAGAUGACAGGGCUUCUGCAUCACUGUUGAAGCAGAAAAGAUGCAAAAAGGGCUGGACUAGUGAAAUCUUAAUUACCUUGUAUGGUAAGAAAAGAACAGUGCAGGUGUGGAAUGGACAGAUGAUUUGGUCCCCAGAGUGCCUUUCUCCCUCAGGAACCAACAGACCGGAUGAUCUGCGCUGCUAUACUGACCUAUCUCCAACCUCAGUUGACUUUCUAUUGGCCUGGAGGAAACUUGGCUUGCUCUCCUCUCUCUCGUCCUUGCUUGCCCUCAUACAGCUAGAUAGCUGUGGUGGGACUUAA